UAAGCUACAUGUUGUUCUCAAUUAGGAAAUGGCUUCAUUUCCACAGCAACCAAGAGCAGAACCCAAGAUUUUACCCAGGGAACCCAGCUUCCCCAGAACAAGUGAGUCAUUCCCAUCCUUCUCCUCAACCCUCGUCAGCUUUCAAUGUUUAGUUUGCUGGAUUACAAUAACAUCGUCCCCUUCUCUUUCUUGCAUUUCCUUCAGCAUCCUUGCACAAAGCUUUGUCCAUCCAAAACAUGACCCAGAUUGAAACGCCGUGGGAGAAUGUCACCCUCAACCGCUGUCUGUUUGUGGCCAUUACCAUCCUGGUGCUCACCUCAGGCUUUCAGAGGCUUCAUGGCAAGUAAACUAAAAGUAGGGCCACAGUUACAAAAUGACAUGGCUGCUGUGACUGAGUGGUCUCUUUUUGAAAAAAACAAAACAGAAACUCUGCGCGGUCAAAGGACAGCAGAGCAGGAGGAAGAAGUUGGACUGACAGUGAGACGGUCGGGCACAUUACGACACAGAGGACAACCACCGGAGCCUGAGACAACUAUUUGGGAAGUCAUGUUUUGGUGGCUGCCAGACCUUGAUGAUGAAGAGGAGGAGGAGGAAGAUGAUGAUGACGAUGAUGGACAAGUCAAAAGAGUAAAGUCAAAGAGAGGAACAUCAAGCAGUCUCAGAAACAAGCCACUGCCAGACAAAAAACUCAUGAAGCAAAGUGAAGGAAAAUUAAAGGGCAGGAGAGCUAAGAAAGCCAGGGAUGAAGAAAUCAAAGUAAAACAAGAAAUAGAUAAAACAGAGGAACCUGAAGAAGUAGCAGAUGAAGAAGAUAAGGAUGAAGGAAAUGAGGAGGCAGAGCCUGAGAAGAAUGAAAAGCUGCAGGAAAAGAAGAAGAAAAAGAAGCAAAAGGGAUGAGUGGAUUCUUUCUAAGGCAGUAAUUUGUUUUAACAAUUUUCUCCUGGAUAGAUUUAAUUACAUUUAUUAAAAGGUGGUAAUUUGAAUUAAAUAGAUUUUCCCUGUCAAAUCUUUCAGAUACCACCACUGAGACCUGAAAGUUAAAUUACCUCAAUAUCAACGUGUUACAGAUUGGUUUCUUUGCUAUAUGUGAUUUUGUGUAAUGGAGCUUUGAAUUUACCUGGUAAGACAUUUGCAUUUUCAUUUCAUGUUAUGAUUGCUUUAUUUGAAAUCUGUGUGAACAUUUGAUUCAUUUA
ensembl:lncRNA